rnacentral:rRNA from 1 species
AACGAACGCUGGCGGCAGGUCAUAGGCAUGCAAGUCGAACGGGUGUAGUAAUACACAAGUGGCGAACGAGUGAGUAACGCGUGGGAAUCUGCCCAUCUGUGGGGAAUAACGUUUGGAAACGAACGCUAAUACCGCAUACGCCCGCAAGGGGAAAGAUUUAUCGGAGAUGGAUGAGCCCGCGUUGGAUUAGUUAGUUGGUGGGGUAACGGCCUAUCAAGGCGAUGAUCCAUAGCUGGUCUGAGAGGACGAUCAGCCACGCUGGAACUGAGAUACGGUCCAGACUCAUACGGGAGGCAGCAGCUAAGAAUAUUGGGCAAUGGAGGAAACUCUGACCCAGCCAUGCCGCGUGAAUGAAGAAGGCCUUCGGGUUGUAAAGUUCUUUUAGUCGUGACGAUGAUGACGGUAGCGACAGAAAAAGCACCGGCUAACUUCGUGCCAGCAGCCGCAGUAA